rnacentral:rRNA from 1 species
AGAUUGAACGCUGGCGGCAGGCCUAACACAUGCAAGUCGAGCGGUAGAGAGGUGCUUGCAUCUCUUGAGAGCGGCGGACGGGUGAGUAAUGCCUAGGAAUCUGCCUAGUGGUGGGGGAUAACGUUCGGAAACGGACGCUAAUACCGCAUACGUCCUACGGGAGAAAGCGGGGGACCUUCGGGCCUCGCGCCAUUGGAUGAGCCUAGGUCGGAUUAGCUAGUUGGUGAGGUAAUGGCUCACCAAGGCGACGAUCCGUAACUGGUCUGAGAGGAUGAUCAGUCACAC